rnacentral:rRNA from 1 species
UACGGAGGGGGCUAGCGUUGUUCGGAAUUACUGGGCGUAAAGCGCGCGUAGGCGGACCUGCAAGUCGGGGGUGAAAGCCCGAGGCUCAACCUCGGAACUGCCUUCGAUACUGCGGGUCUCGAGUCCGGGAGAGGUGAGUGGAAUUCCUAGUGUAGAGGUGAAAUUCGUAGAUAUCGGGAGGAACACCAGUGGCGAAGGCGACUUCCUGGCCUGUUCUUGACGCUGAGGCGCGAAAGCUAGGGUAGCAAACAGG